rnacentral:rRNA from 1 species
GAUGAACGCUAGCUACAGGCUUAACACAUGCAAGUCGAGAGGAAACGACAUCGAAAGCUUGCUUUUGAUGGGCGUCGACCGGCGCACGGGUGAGUAACGCGUAUCCAACCUGCCCACCACUUGGGGAUAACCUUGCGAAAGUAAGACUAAUACCCAAUGAUAUCUCUAGAAGACAUCUGAAAGAGAUUAAAGAUUUAUCGGUGAUGGAUGGGGAUGCGUCUGAUUAGCUUGUUGGCGGGGUAACGGCCCACCAAGGCAACGAUCAGUAGGGGUUCUGAGAGGAAGGUCCCCCACAUUGGAACUGAGACACGGUCCAAACUCCUACGGGAGGCAGCAGUGAGGAAUAUUGGUCAAUGGACGAGAGUCUGAACCAGCCAAGUAGCGUGCAGGAAGACGGCCCUAUGGGUUGUAAACUGCUUUUAUAAGGGAAUAAAGUGAGUCUCGUGAGACUUUUUGCAUGUACCUUAUGAAUAAGGACCGGCUAAUUCCGUG